GCCUUAAUAGUUUAAUAAAACAUCAGCCUUGUAAGCUGAAUAUGGGAAUUAUAACCCCUUAAGGUA
rnacentral:tRNA from 1 species